rnacentral:rRNA from 1 species
CGAACGGGAUGCUUAGGCAUCUAGUGGCGGACGGGUGAGUAACGCGUGAGAAUCUGGCUCCAGGUCGGGGAUAACAGUUGGAAACGACUGCUAAUACCGGAUGUGCCGAGAGGUGAAAGAUUUAUUGCCUGGAGAUGAGCUCGCGUCUGAUUAGCUAGUUGGUGGUGUAAGGGACCACCAAGGCCUCGAUCAGUAGCUGGUCUGAGAGGAUGAUCAGCCACACUGGGACUGAGACACGGCCCAGACUCCUACGGGAGGCAGCAGUGGGGAAUUUUCCGCAAUGGGCGAAAGCCUGACGGAGCAAUACCGCGUGAGGGAGGAAGGCUCUUGGGUCGUAAACCUCUUUUCUCAAGGAAGAAGAAAGUGACGGUACUUGAGGAAUAAGCAUCGGCUAACUCCGUGCCAGCAGCCGCGGUAAUACGGAGGAUGCAAGCGUUAUCCGGAAUGAUUGGGCGUAAAGGGUCUGCAGGUGGAACUGAAAGUCUGCUGUUAAAGAGUUUGGCUUAACCAAAUAAAAGCGGUGGAAACUACAGAACUAGAGUGCGGUAGGGGCAAAAGGAAUUCCUGGUGUAGCGGUGAAAUGCGUAGAUAUCAGGAAGAACACCGGUGGCGAAAGCGUUUUGCUAGACCGUAACUGACACUGAGGGACGAAAGCUAGGGGAGCGAAUGGGAUUAGAUACCCCAGUAGUCCUAGCCGUAAACGAUGGAUACUAGGCGUGGCUUGUAUCGACCCGAGCCGUGCCGGAGCUAACGCGUUAAGUAUCCCGCCUGGGGAGUACGCACGCAAGUGUGAAACUCAAAGGAAUUGACGGGGGCCCGCACAAGCGGUGGAGUAUGUGGUUUAAUUCGAUGCAACGCGAAGAACCUUACCAAGACUUGACAUCCUGCGAAUCCUGGUGAAAGCUGGGAGUGCCUUAGGGAGCGCAGAGACAGGUGGUGCAUGGCUGUCGUCAGCUCGUGUCGUGAGAUGUUGGGUUAAGUCCCGCAACGAGCGCAACCCUCGUUUUUAGUUGCCAGCAUUAAGUUGGGCACUCUAGAGAGACUGCCGGUGACAAACCGGAGGAAGGUGAGGAUGACGUCAAGUCAGCAUGCCCCUUACGUCUUGGGCUACACACGUACUACAAUGCUACGGACAGAGGGCAGCAAGCCAGGGAUGGCAAGCGAAUCCAGAAACCGUAGCUCAGUUCAGAUCGAAGGCUGCAACUCGCCUUCGUAAAGGAGGAAUCGCUAGUAAUUGCAGGUCAGCAUACUGCAGUGAAUUCGUUCCCGGGCCUUGUACACACCGCCCGUCACACCAUGGAAGUUGGUCACGCCCGAAGUCAUUACCCCAACCGAAAGGAGGGGGAUGCCUAAGGUAGGACUGGUGACUGGGGUGAAGUCGUAACAAGGUAGCCGUACCGGAAGGUGUGGCUGGAUCACCUCCUUU